GAAUAUUGGACAAUGGGCGCAAGCCUGAUCCAGCCAUACCGCGUGGGUGAAGAAGGCCUUCGGGUUGUAAAGCCCUUUUGUUGGGAAAGAAACGCCGUCGGCUCAUAACCGGUUGUUCUGACGCUACCCAAAGAAUAAGCACCGGCUAACUUCGUCCCAUCCGCCGCGGUAAUACGAAGGGUGCAAGCGCUACUCGGAAUUACCGGGCGUAAAGCGUGCGUAGGUGGUUGUUUAAGUCUGUUGUGAAAGCCCUGGGCUCAACCUGGGAAUUGCAGUGGAUACUGGGCGACUAGAGUGUGGUAGAGGGUAGUGGAAUUCCCGGUGUAGCAGUGAAAUGCGUAGAGAUCGGGAGGAACAUCCAUGGCGAAGGCAGCUACCUGGACCAACACUGACACUGAGGCACGAAAGCGUGGGGAGCAAACA
rnacentral:rRNA from 1 species